CUUUCAGUUAUGCACUGCUAAUUAGUGGUGGAAGGAAACUUGAAUUCUAUGGUCUCAUCUGAGUUUCGAGUUUUAUCACUGUAAUCCUUACCGCUUUUUUUUUUUUUUUUUUUUUUUUUACAGGGUUUUGCUGUGCAGUUUAGGCUGUCCUUGAACCCACUUUUUAGUCCAUUCUGGCCUUGAACUCAUCAUGGGUAUGGUCUUGUCUCAGCUUCUUGACUGCUGGGAUUACAGGUCUGAGCCACCAUACCUGGCACAGCUUGCUUUUUGGCACAGAUCUAGUUCAGCCACCACUAUUACCAUCCUCAGAUAAUAAAAAUACACUGGACCCGUAUUAGCACAUGAAUCCUAGUACAAGCUGACAAAAAGAAGUUUUCAAAAGGAUCCUUGGUAGUGAAAUGAAAGAC
rnacentral:lncRNA from 1 species